rnacentral:rRNA from 1 species
UACGGAGGAUGCAAGCGUUAUCCGGAAUGAUUGGGCGUAAAGGGUCCGCAGGUGGCUGUGUAAGUCUGCUGUUAAAGAGUCAUGCUCAACAUGAUUAAGGCAGUGGAAACUACAAGGCUAGAGUGCGUUCGGGGCAGAGGGAAUUCCUGGUGUAGCGGUGAAAUGCGUAGAUAUCAGGAAGAACACCGGUGGCGAAAGCGCUCUGCUAGGCCGCAACUGACACUGAGGGACGAAAGCUAGGGGAGCGAAUGGG